GAUUGAAACAAAAAAUGCCAGACAGACAUGCGGCAGCUGUGUCUCAGCACGCAGGGACGACGGGCAAUCUCACUGCAAUGCUGCAUGGCCUAAUGAUGAGUACGCAAUGCAAGUGAUCGUGCAAAGGUUAAGUAGUGUUCAACACCUCCUCUUUUAAAAGGAACAGGAUAUGAUGUGGUUUCUGAAAGAGUUCCCACAAGAAUCAUAAGAGACGUUCAGGUUUGUGCUUCGGAAGAGUCUAUUUCAAUGAUCUGGAUUAUCCAUUUCUUGGCAGUGCUGGGCAAAUGAAGUGUUACCUUCCUCAUUACAGAAGCUCUAAGCCAGCUGGACUGGUUUCAGAACUAGAGAGCAGAUGUGGCUGAAGGGCCUGCAGAGGGGAUCCUUGUGGUGCAUUGGCAAAGUCCCACUCCAGGAGGAGGGCUGAAGCCCGUACUGCAGGUUUCUCCGGCCCCACAGUUCCUAGAAUCGCUGUCAUGGGAGGGAAGGCUGGUUUUAGGGGGAGGCUGCAAGACCAGAUUAAAUUAAGGGGGGAAGUGGCAUGAACAGAACACACCUCCUUUUAUCUUCAAAGCCGUUUUCAAAAACUGAAUUCAGAAACAGCCUAGCCUCCUGGGAGGCACUCCAUGGGAGGGCUUCUGCAGGCCAGUUUUAAAGAGAGGAGUGAGGUUCAGACACCUGCGGGGGUCAGAACCAGAAGGAAAAAAUGUCUCCUCUGAAGCAGGUGCUCUGUUCUGACUACCCGCCACUCUUCCAGAGAGUUCUACAACUUUGCAAGCCCACCCUUCAAAGGGAGCAGAUCAACAAUGAUUCCUUUGAGACACAGCCUUGAAAAUGGGAUGUAUACAAUACUACCGUUCUCAUCUGACUUCUUGUUCCUACAGAUUAAGUGGCAUGGGGCAGGGGUGGAAUUUCUAUGAAUUGCUCAAUAACAAGCCCUGCCUCUAGGGUGCAGGUCAUCACUACCUAGUGACUCUCAUAUCCAUAGCAUUAUAAAUCGGUCAAAUGAUAAGCCUGCACCCUAUGCCUCUUACUUGAACAUCAAACAGGAUUCACCAGGAGGUCUCUUCCACUCUACCUUGGUUUAGCCGACCCUAAGAUUACUCACUGGAAACAAAGCAAUUGGAACACACAGGGAGCAACAUUUAAUGCAAAAGCCUGAAGCUGACAAUAAUAUUACCCUCUCCAAUCCCAUCAGCAUCAACAGAAUCAUCCUCUUCUGUGGUUUCAAAUCAUCCAAUGGAAUUUUUAGGUCUCAAUCAACUGAAAUUUGAAAAAAAAAUCACCUACAGGAUGUGUUAAACUUCUACUUGUAAGAGUCCAUGUGAGGACUUAUAAAUCAAUGAACUACAUGAGAAAAUUCCAGAAAUGUUAAGAGCUUAGCCAGUGAUUCUGGGAGUUUAACCAUUCGCUCAGCUCGUCUCCUGCUGAGUGUCACUCAAGCAACCCAACAGCCACUUGCCAGCUCUAGAAUAUCAGAACAGACUGGGAAGGGGGAGGUGAGAAAGAAGUUUUAUGUAUAUAUAUAUACACACACACACACACACACAUAUAUAUAUAUAUACAUACACACACACACACACACACACACAUACAAUGAAAUAUCAAUCAACCUUAAAAAGGAAGGAAAUCCUGACAUAUGCAGCAACGUGGGCGAACUUUGAAGACAUUAUGGUAAGUGAAAGAAGCCAAAUCACAAAAGGAUAAGUAUUGCAUGAUUCCAUAUAUAUGAGGUACCUAGACUAGUCAAAUUCAUAGACACAGGGAGUAGAAUGAUGGCUACCAGGGGAGAGGAGAUGGGAGAAUGAGGAGUUAGUGUUUAAUGGGUCUGGAGUUUCAGACUGGGAGAUGGAUGGUGGAAAGUUACACACUACGGAUGUGAUUACUCCCAUAAAACUGUACAUUUAGAAAUUGUUAAAAUGAUAAAUGUUAUUUUAUAUGUAUCACCACAAUACAAAAAAAUCCCUACUGGAGGGAUUUCCCAUCUUGAUGUCUUUACAUUGACCAAGGCUCCAAGCACAGCAAUGAUCCACAGCAACCCUCAGAGCUCACAUUGUUGACUAUUGUAAUCAUACCCUGCUUUCCCGCUUGCAUUUUUCACCUUCUCGUUUUCUCUGGCUGACAACGCGUUAUUUCUUGGCAACUGACUAUUCUAUGUCAGAAGCCCCAUGGAGUAGACAUUCCACUGGAUGUAAGAAGUUGGGAGAAAAAAAUUUUUUUAAAAGACCAGUUUAUAAUAGCAUAAUACUCUAGGCUUCCUAUUUUAAAGAAUCUGGCAAAGAAACUCAUAUUGGGUUCUUUUUUUAAUAUAGAAAACUAAAAGUUCUGAUUCAUUUUAGCCAAAGAUUUUAGGCACAUAUAAUAUUAUGCUCAUAACUUAAGAACAAUUUAUAUAAUUUUUCAUAAUGUGCAAAGAAUGAAAAAGAUCAAACAGGGAAAGUGACUUAAUGUCUUUGAAGCUCUCUGUAUUAUAAAUUCAUCCUUCUUUGCAACACCAUCACUCAUCUCGAUCUGGCAGCAUUUUUCACUUUCUUCCUGUCAAAAGAGACUGUUGCUGCAGCAAAGAGUUACACAGAUGAUACUAAAGCAGUAAAAACAAAGGAACAUUCUCCUUUAAAAAGAAACGGAAGCAGGAUUCCCGAAAGUGUAUCCCGUGAACUAUCAGCAUCAGAAUCACUAAUGUGCUUAAUAAAAAUGCAGACAUCCUGCUGAAUCAGAAUCUCUGGGAAUGCAGGCCUGGGUCUGCUUUUUAUUAAAUAAGGUCCCCAGUAACUACGGGAAGGCCUGACUGAGGCAAGCUCAUGGAGAAAACUAAGUUCAUUUUUGAGUCUUGAAUCAAAGGCUGGCUUGUGAGGAGCAGAGACAUGGGGCUCAGUGCCUGUCUGACUGCAUAGCCCCCCCGUCCCCAUCAUGGAUGCCGCAUCCAUUCUCCCUCAUGACCCCAAUAUCCUCAUUUCCAAUAUCCUUCCCAUAUCCUUAGACUCAACAUUGGUUGGCUUUGAAGGGGAGAGCGGAUCACUGUUCCCCUAAGGACACUGAGUGGAUGAAGACAAUCUGGUCAUGGUCAUGAAGACAAUCGGCCAUUGGAUGAUAGCCAAUCUGGUGCUGGAACCUCAGUGGUACUCUCUGAUGGGUCUCACCACUGUGGGGGUUGCCCUGCCUGGAGCCAUCAAGGUCCAUCCCUCACUCAACCACAGCCCCUGCCCCAGAUGCCCUGGGUAGCCAAACCAGUGUCUGUAAACUGUAAACAGAUCUUGGUCUUAAGUAACUUUUAACCAUUGCUUGUGGCUACCUGGAGGGCUGUGGCCAGUGACUUCUGACAGCUGAAUCAGAAACUUGCCUUCAUGGAUUUGCAAUGUCUGAAUGGGCUGGGGUGGGGCAAGGACAGCCUCAGAUUGCCAGAACACCAUCUCUGCUCUUUCAUUGCUUUUAAGACAGUAUUUUUCAUACUUCAGUGAAUUAUUUACUUAUAUAAAAAUACAUGUACUUGUAUUUAUUUACAAGUACUUAUGUAGUACUUUCUAUAUUCCAGACAGUCUUCUAGGGGUCUUAUAAAUAUUAACUCUUUUAAUCUUUAUAACAAUAUUGAAGCAGAGGUUGUUUUUAUCUUCAUUUUUUAAGUGAGGCAACUGAAACACAGAGAGGUUGAGAACUUUGCCCACAGUUGCACAGCUGGUAAAUGGCAGAGCCAAGGCAGUCUGUCUUCCUAAUUUGUGUCAAGCUGUUUAUAUGGGGUAUAUAUAAGUUAAUGGCAAAAUAAAGCAUAUCAAUAAAAACAAACAAUGUAUUAAAUUCUGGUUACUGUUGCCUAUCCUGAGUCUUACUUUCUGUUUGUUGAAGGGGAGAUUAAGGAGUGUUUUUAGAGGCAUUAAAGGAAAUAGCACAAAACUGAUGCCUUCUCAUUGACAUAAUUGGAACUGAAAGAGAACUGCAAAGCUGGAGUUUUGUAAUCCAAGCUUUACUAAAACCAAAGGAGAGGAAAAAGAAAAAAGAAAAAGAAGCCUGAAGAAAUAAAAGAAACAAACAAAAUCCAGAAAACAAGUGGUGCACUCUGAGGACUGGGGUUUGAUCCUACAAUAGUAGCACAACAAGGACCUGCUAAUUGAUUUUCUCCAUUAAAAUGUAAUCAGAGGGCUAUCCAAAUAGAAAUGCCAUCAUCCCAGGGGAGCCCAAGUUGAUAGGCAGAUUUUUUUCUCUCUCUCACCUGAAAUUCUACCCCCAGAUCACAUAUCUUUAAUCUUACUCCUACUUGCUCCUUUGGGCUAAGUCAACCAAAGGCAGGUAAGAUCAGGACACCUGGCACAGAGGUGACUUGAGAAGAUGUGAAAGAUGAGAAAGAGUCCAUCUGAUAGAAGAUGAGACAAAAAUGAACAACAACUGAGUACCUAAUAUGUGCCAGGAAUCUUAAUUAAUCCACAUAACAAGUCAACAAGGCAUUAAUAAAAAUAGCUAUUGUUAUUGAGUACUCACUAUGUGUCAAGCAUUGUCCUCAGCACUUCACGUAGCUUCAUGAAUUUAACCCUUAUCACGACUUCAUGAACUACAUAUUAUUAUGAUGCCCCUUUUUCAGAUGAGGAAUUUGAGGCAUGAAGAAAUUAAGAAUCGGGUCCUAAGUCAUACAGAAGCAAACAGCAGAGCCUGGAGUUGAACCCAGGCACUCUGACUUGAAAAUCCACCCUUUUAAGCAAUGUCCUUGUAGGAAGAAAGACCAACAAUACUACAAAGGUACAGAGGCCUGAGGAUGAACAGAUAUCCAGAAAGAGUCAGGAAUUAGUCAGGAAAGUUCCUCAAAUGUUGAGAAAAUGUUAUGGUUUCAGGUUCAGGAGAUUGUUUGCAUGAGAUAAAGAGGAUGGAGCUGCCCUGAGGCUUGAGGCAGGUGCAGAAAAAGAAAACUCAAUUACAAAGGGGGAAAAAAAAUUGAGACCUGAAGAAGAUGAGCUGCUAUAGCAAGAGCUACAUCAGGAGUCUUGGUUGUAAGGAAGAGAAGCCAGAUCUAACUACCUUAAGUAGACAAGCAGUUUUUUGGAUGGAUUUCUAUCAGUGAUAGAAAAGAAAAAGAACCAGACUUAAAAAGCAAAAGCAGGCAAGAACAAGUGAGAUCAAAGCAGCAGAAAUUGCAUCAUGGUCACACCCAAAAAACAGUUCAGUUAGGACACUAUCCCUGUGCACUUAACUGUGACCUGUCCCUGAUUCUGCUACCAUGGCUUUGAGUGACUGCUCAGUAUACCCUCAUUGGUAUGCCACACCCCCAGGUGGGGCAUCAGAUUGAGCCAGGGUCCAUGUCCCAUUGAGCUUCUAGAAUCUCUGGCAGAAUCCUUUCUGCCAUCAAGAGUCACACAACACAAGAUUAAUUAUCCUAUCCCUUCUCCUCCAGAACCCACAGCAUCCAUGGCAGCUUGAACAAAGAUGCUCCUGUGCAAGUUUAGCUGAGAUCCUGAUGACCAGCUAGCCUGCAUGCCAUAGUACACAAACAGCUAGAAAGGUGUCCAAGAGAGAAGGGAACCAACAUGCCUUCCGUCUCAUUAGAUAUUUUAGCUUUAAAGACUUUUUCCUUGGGAGUUGUCAUCAGCCUUGUGACAAAUUCUCCUUCACUCAGAAAGACUCCAAAACCUUGAGGUCCAAUGUCAUCCAGAUGACAAGGUUCUUAUUAUAAGUGAUAGAUGAGCAGUGGUCGACAAGGAUGACCAAAUGCUCCUGGAGUCAGCAGGCUGCAAACACCUCUGCCUCGUGACCCCUGUGAGCACAUUGCUCUUUGAGUGACACGCGGAGGAACUGUAAUAGGGGAAGGUGCUGGAGAGUAGGGGAAAUUCAUGCCUGUCUGCUGAUCUCAUAUCCACAGAAGAAGUCCCCGAGACUGUAAUACUUUCUUUUUCAUCUGAGCGAGGGUUGGACCUGCAUCCAAAUUUCCUUGUCUACACUUGUGAUGACCUGAAGAUCACGGUGUAAACACUAUGGCAGUGAUCCACUUUGCCAAGCUCCCAAAGCUCUCCUAUGUUGCAGGUUCAUCUUUUUGCUUAUUUCCAAUUUGUCACUGGAAGGUCAGACAAUGAGUCACUAAGCAGGAUGCUAUGAACAUACUGAGUGCUUAAAGAAUCUGGCAGCUGAAACCAAGGCAGAAUGUGCACAUUACGGAGAGAGCACAAUUAGCACUGUGACUAAGAACCAAGCGGCUGACCAAGGGUGACAACAAAGGGAAACUUUUAAUGAUGAGAUUUAAUUUCCAAGGAAAAACCUCUAGAAAAUUAUAAACGCAGUAAUUUGAUUUAAUCAUCUGCAUUUGAAUAGCUCUGCAUGAGCAACACAUUUAAACAUUUAUAAAAUUAAGAUGCUAAAAUUAAUGUUGAGCUAUUAUAGAAGUGCUCAUAAUUGUCCAAUGAUCGUGCAUAAUUAAAUAGCAAUCUCCAACAUUGCAGGAUGGGGCCCCAUUCAAUGAAACUGUCAAGAGCCAACCUGGAAGAUUUAUUGGAUGCAAAGUCUAUGAGCCGUGAGCCCUCUUGUGGCCACAAAGCACAGUGCAGUCUAGGCCCUCCCUCUACCCUUGAGUCCUGGAGGAGUUUAGGGGGCCAAGAAUCUAAGCAUGAGGACAGGACCCCUGAUUCUAAGAAAACUUCUGGGCAGUAAGCACACCCUCUCCUUCUGGAUGCCAACAGAGAUGCCAGGACAGAGCCCAAACCUUUCCAAGCCUCCAAGGAGGUGUUAUCCAAGAACAACUCCUCCCAUUUAUAUAGCUUCAAGUUGCUUUGAUGUACAGUAGCCUUUGAUCUGUAAGAAAAGCACUGUUGUCCCCAUCUAAAGAUGUUGAAACUGAGGCUCCAGAGGAUGAUGUGGCUUGCCCAAGGUCUUUCGUCCUUCAGUCUGAUUUUAAAUGCUGCCUCCCAAAAGAGGCCUUCCCUGACCAUCCUGUAUAAAGUUAUGCCAGCACCCACCCACCCACACUAGGUCCUGUCAAGCACUAGAACCUCUUUAUCCUAUUCACUUGCUGACCACAUGUUAGCUACAUGUCUCCCACACUAGAAUAGAAACUCUAGUGGGUCCAGAUCUGUCUCACUCACACAUGUGCCCCUGACCAAAACACUCAGGUAUUAGCUGGGUGUGAGUGCCUAGACACCCUGCUUGGGUUGACCACAGGCCCCUCACACUCUGUGUCCAAAGCUCAACUCUUGAGCUGUCUUGUCCCACAGACACAUUCCUCCUCCUGUCAUUCAUCAUCUCAGUUUGGAGGCACCAUUUCCUACCUAGUCGCAUAAGCCAGAAAUCAGAGUGUCUCUUGACUCCUCGGCAUUUGAAGAGCCGGCCCCACAUCUCCCAUCCAUAAGUAGCAGACACUGCCUUCUGCAAAUCCUACAUUCCAGUCGCUUGACUGUGCCCACCGCUCUCCAUUUCCAGCCACGCUUUCUUUACAGAGGUCAUGAUCAUGACUCAUUUGCAUUACGGCAAAAGCCUGCUGGCUGUCCUCCCCAGUUCCAGGCUAUAGCCAGAGGGUACUUCCAGAAAGACAAAGCUCCCUUCCCUCUGUCACUUGGAACCCUCUAGGAGCUCCUAAAAGCUCCCUAGUGCUUUUAGGAGAAAGUCCAAAAUAGCAAGCAUGCCCAACAUGGCCUGCAUGAUCCGGCCCCUGCUGCUCCUCCACCCUCCCCUCCUACACCCCAUUCUACACUAACCCCUUUCAUGGACAUCAUCUUACUGAAUUCUCACAAUAACCGUGCAAGGGAGACAUUACCAUUCCCAUUUUAUAAAAUGAAGCAAGUUUGGAGAGGCAAAAGUAACUUGCCUGGGGUCCUGAAGCCUCCUGGUUUAAAACCCAUUGCUUUUUGUACCUCCAUCUGCUGUUCCCUACUGUCAUCCUUGGCAUUGGUAAUGUUUGUUGAGCACCUCCUGUGUAUAAGACACCAUGCAAGACAGACUCUAGGACACCUUUUCUCUCCCUCCAUCAGAAAUGCACUAAGCAAGUUAUAAAAAGCAUUCUUGUUCACACACAGUUAGCAAGAUACUAACUGGAGACCAUCUGACUCCAGCGCCUUAUAUUCCAACAUCUAGAACUGUGGCCCAUCACAGGUACUCAAUAAAUAAUUGUGAAGUGAAUGAUUGUCCAUGCCCCUUCCUCCACUCCCUACCACCUUUUGGGAAGAACACUUGUCUGUAGUGUUAUUAGAGCAGUCCAUCUUAUAAAAGGUAAUGCCUAAGAAAACAUGAGCCUCACUGAUAUUCGUCUCUGCUUCUUCAGGGUCCUAUGAGUCUAGAAAACUUUUUUGUUUCGCCCCUCCAUGAAGAUGAUAAUUCUACCAUCAUACACGCCUCCCAUUCCAUUGACACAUCCUAUGGUGAUGCUGAUAAAUAGCUGUUGUAAAGAUGCUGGAAGACACCAGCCACACGUGGACUGUGUCCUGAAAUUGCAAUAUGUCAGGGGCUUCAGAUAUGACCUGUAUUGAGGUUAGAGUAUAGACCCAAGUUCUUGCAAAGCCCUACUAAGGCAAUGGCUGCAGGGAGGCAGAGGCAGUCCCAAGUCAGAAACGUGUUCCAGGCAACUGCUGAUGACACGAGAGUUGUCCAUUUACACUAGUUGCCAUGGCAACCUUACCAUCAAAUUUGGAAAGUCUCAUGAACAAGACAACCCUAGUGUUAGAGAUUUCAUGAGAAACACAGACAGAUCCA
rnacentral:lncRNA from 1 species